ACUCCUUCCAAACCCACCUACCAAGAGGUGCUGACUGAUGUGGAGGAGAGGAGCCACAGAAGGCAACAGGAAUACAACACGUUCUGCCAGCAGACGAAACAGGAGAUAGCUGACAUCCACAGAGAUCGACUGAUCCAUAACAUGGAACUCAACAGGAUGAAGAAAGAGAUUUUCAGUGACCGCAUGGAGGUGAAGAUCGCCAGCGAGGGAAUCAUKAAUAAAUGGAAGCACCCCCCGUACCGCCAGCGUCUGCAGAAGGGAGAGGGGAAAGAGAGGAAAGAGGAGUCAGAGGAGGUGAAGAAUGCAAACCAACCUUCUGUUUCUCCAGAGAACCGAAAGACAGCUGGACAAUGACAACUUUCAGCACAGUGUCUCUCUCUUUAUGCCACUCAGACCUACAGAACAGGAUGUCAGUGUGCUACAUUAAUAUAUAUUUGACAUUUGUUUUCAUUGAAAUUCACCCAGAUGAUUUAAAUGCCAUUCUUCACACUUCA